UAUCGUCGGAGGUCUCUCGUCCCGCCGUCCUCUCUAUGGUGCCAGCCCUGCACCGCCGGGAGCCUGCGGCAGCGGCGGCGCGGCAGGACCAUCCUCUCCACGCCAUGCCGGGCGGCGGGUCCCGGCCGCCCGAGCCGCAACGGAGCUGAGAACUGCCAGAUAUAUACUGAAUCUUGCAUGCAUAAAGGACUACCUCUUUCUGACCUGUCAUUAUCCUUGAGAAACUGUUGAAACCUUAGGAAAAUGGUCUAAAAAUAUUUGGAGGGAGAUUAAGUGGUUCAACAAGUAACGCUCUAAUGGAUGACAGAGAAUUUCCACCAAAUGAUCUACAAAUAGACUCAAAGGACAGUCUUCCUGCUGACUAUAGGGUGGAAAGUUUGGCAUCUCAUCUGGUUUCUUCAGCUGAUGAAAAUGAAAAUCAACUUGACAACGAUGGGAACGAGGUUCUGACCAGUAGUAACUUUGCUAUGGGACAACAGGAUAAAGGUGAGCAGGACAGCAUCAAUAAUAAUGAGAAUAUGGACAGUGGAGACUGUACCCCAAGCUGUAAGGAAGGUGAGACUGAGAGGAGAUCUGUAAAUGUCCAUAUGGACCCCCAGCUGGAGGAAAAGCCUAUUACAGAAAAACAGCCAGGUGGAAAAAGAAGUCCAAGAAGCAAAAGAAGCUCCAGUAAAAAAUCUAAAGGAGUUCCUACAGUGGGAACCACAGCAAUCAAGGAGGAAAAUACUCUUAUUACAGAUACAGAUUCUGUACAUGCUGAAGGUGCUGUUGAAGCAAAUGAAAACUUUCACCAAAAAGAACAAAAACAAACGUUGCAGUCCCUUUUCUCUUUGCUCCGUGAAGAGGUUGAGCAGAUGGAUUCAAAGAUACUGCCCUUGUGUCUCCAUCAGAUAGCUGAGACGUAUUUUCAAGAGGAGGAAUAUGAGAAGGCAAUGAAGUUCAUUCAGCUUGAACGACUGUAUCAUGAGCAGCUGCUUGCAAAUCUUUCUUCCAUACAGGAGCAGUGGGAAAGAAAAUGGAAAACAGCAGUUCCUAGUCCAGUUACAACACUGAGGAAUUCAGCUAAAGAACUGAGUGGUGAAGAGUUGGAAAAGCUUACUAGAGUUUGCUCUUCGCAUCAACAGCCACAGGCAUCCAAAAAUAAGCUAGUAGCUGCAGAAAAUACAUGGAAAAGUGGUUGUUUGCUUCAGUUAAUGGAAUCAAAAAGCUUAAAGGAAAGAGAAGCUGCCGCUUUUAAAUCAGGUAUUGAAACUUGUCCUGGCAUUGGACCAAAGAAAGAAGAUAAACAGCUGAGCACUCCUCCUCCAGGUGAAAACAAAACUGAGAGACUGACAGAGGCAGCAAGCCUUUGGGUAGCUGCAGGAAAGGACCACAUGGAGGAGCAGCACUGCAGUGCUGAAUCAACAUUAGAGCCACACACCCAGUCCACAGGGACAGUGGGCAGGCCUUCUUCGGGCUGUUUAUCAUCUGGGGAUGCCGGUAAAGAUAACAGUUCGCAGCUGAGAGAAAGGCAGCUCUCUAAGGAUGCAGAAAAAAUAGAAGGUGCAGCUGGGGAGCCUGGAGUGAAACUCCCUCUUGAGCCCAUGGUAGAUGCUUUGGUUUUAACAGAUGCUGACUGUAUGCCUACUGAUUCGGUUCCUACUGAUAAAGAUGUGCAAGCUGAUAGAAAUCUGCUCAGAUCAAAACAUGCUGCUGGCUCUUCACAAAUUGCUAGUGGCCAGCUUGGAAAUAGCGAUUUAAAGCAGCAACAGAAACAGCCUCAUGAUGAUGAAGAAUCUUCACGGGACAGAACUGCAUCAAAUGUAUGCUCUGGGUGUAAUAAAGUGUCUGAGCAUGACAGUACGGCCCAUUCACGAGUAUGCACAGAAAUGCAGAGAACAGCAAGACAGGAAGAGAAGGUAAAUAAUGAAGAACAAGAAGAUUUAUUUCUCAGAUUUUUAAAUGGUAACAUAAUAGACACUGAAGAAUCAUUUGCAAACUUAGCAAACCAAGAGGACUUUGACACUGUUCCAGAUAUUUCACCUGAACGAGCAUCUUACAACUCACUGGAAGCUUUAUCACUAGAUGACAGCUUUUCUUCUCUUGAUGAACUUGCAAGAAGGAUAGAGAUUGCUGAGAGGAGAUGUUAGGAGAUGGGCUGACAAUUCGUGUUAAAUCAGAGAUCUACAUAAUGCCUAUGAUGUUACAUGUGAUUUGUUUCUAUUCAUAGAAUAAAAUUUGCUUUUCUGUGCCUAUUCCGUAUAGGUGAGAACUAUGUAUGUAAUAAACUCUGUAUAUGAAUGUAUGGGCUUCUGAUUUUGCUCAAUUGAGGCAGUUUUGUUGUUCAACCAAAACUAAGAAAGAACUUCUAAGCCUGAACUCACCUUUCUGAAGCACUGCUGAUAGGCCACAACAAGGAUGAGUAUUUCAUAAGCUAAAUUGCUCUUCUGAAAAUAUAGAAGAUUUAUUGCUUUGGGACUUUUUGGGACAGCAUAUUAUAACAUCUUUGCUUUAUUUGUCUUCUGGUUUUGGUGCAUUUGCAACCACGGGACCUUAAAAGCUUUUUCUUUUAAUGAAAAGAUGAGAUUAUUGUGAAAUAAUGUGAUUCCAGAUGCUGGAGGGGGAAGACUUGUAAAAAGGUAUCUUCUUAGUUCAUCUCUAUUUUUAAUGAAUUUAACAAUACAACAUCCCAUGGCAAUAAAGUAACAGUAGUUCCCUGUAGAUCAGAAGCUAAUGCAUAGAGACCAAGAACCCACGAUCACUCAGGGACAGCAGCCAAGCAGGGAACUAAAUACUGGGGAUCUGUGCUGAUACUAUUACAUGUUUGCAAAAUCUCCAGAGCUGGAAACAGAGUGGUUUGGUUUUUUUCCCCACCUAAACAGCUGCUUAUCUCCUUUCCAAGAUCAUUCAUCCUGACCUGUCCCUAAAACACCUUGUCUUUCUGCGGGGUGUCAGGAAGCAUACCACAUACUAGGACUGAGGGCCAUGUGCACAAAGCUGUACAGAAGCUCUUGACAACACACAGAUGUGGAAACACGCACACAUGUUCAUACAUGUAAUCAAACUUUUGCACUAAAUCUGUUGGCUUGUGUUCGCUUAGAGGAUGGUUUUGAAAAAAGAGGAUUUUGUUGACAGUCUGUCUUAAGGUCAUAUACAUGUAUAACAAAACAGUAAUUUAAAUAUCAACCCUCAUGAUUAGAUUUCUUUUGAGCCCACUGAAAGUUCAGCAUUUUAAGCUACAGGAGAUGACUGUUCUGUUUCACGUAGAAAAAUCCUAAAUUAAUCCUAUAGCAACUAUUUUUAAAUUGCUCUGUUUGUGCCAUUUGCAUUUUAGAGGAUGGGAUAGGAAGCAGCAUAUUGAUACUGUUAGAAAAAUUAUGCCUAUAUUGAUUGGCCCAGUGACCGAUGAUGAUGCUUUACAGGGAAUCUAGUUUAAUUCUAGUUUGCUAUCCCGAUGCUAGGACUGCCAGUACUGUGAUGGCAGAGUUGAGUCUCUGGAGAGGAAAAAGUACCCUGAGUCUUUCCAUAGUACUUUUUCUGACCAUAUAGGGCAUAAUGUUGGCUGGCACUGGUGGGAGUCUUUUUGAGUCAUUCUUAGCAAGAGGCCUGAGUUGUGUGUGAGGCAGGGGGUUUACAACAGGCAGAAGAGAAGGAGGGUUAAUCUCAAUACUAAUUAAAAUUUGCAAUAUGCAGCAUCUGGGGCUGUUUUGCAAUACCUGAGAUUUCUAGGUGCAGCAGGGUGAGGUAAGGACAGCACAGCAACUUGUAUUGUUUCAUUAUACCCUUCCCCCCCAGUUAAUCUUACCACCUAUCAUUACCCUAGGAGUUGCUUUGCAGAAGUGGUGAGCGCCUACUGCUUCCUUGGAAGACACUAGGAAUUGAGAGAGUUUGGCACCCCUGAGAAAGCAGCACUGUUAGCUUGCUUUCACUGAUUUUGUUUUAGUGCUAAAAUAAGGUUCCGCUGAUGUUUUGACAAGCAGACUGAUCUUUGCACCCAGCCAUAACAUUUCUUCCUUUCUUGUCCUCCUGAAGUCUUUGAACUUGCAUUGGCCAGGCUGUGGCCGUCUGAUAAGAUGACAAUGUUUUCAUGCAGUAGUUGUGAAAGAAAUACCUAGAAAAUGCAUGAAAUGAAUGAAACCUCAUGAAUGAAAUAAAAUUAGUUACAUUAAAUGUACCAGUACAAAAAAACCCAUAAAUGAAUUUGACUGUGAUAAAACUUGUCAUGGAGAGGGUAUUUACAAAAUUGCCUCAAAUAAGUUAGGAUGAAAGUAAAGAUUAUUUUGAAAUAACCUAGGUACAAAAACCAUAUGGUAGGACAAAAUUCCAUUAAUAUUCCUCAGUGGAGGUGUAAUGUUAAUUUAUUGAAAAUGAGGAAGGGUAAGUACUUAUGUAUUUAUUUACAGUUAGGAAGUUUUGUUUGACCCAAUAUUGAGAUCAAAGAAUUAUCUCAUGUAGUUCUCUAACUUAGCUCCUUUAUAUCACUUGCUUUUAGCCUACCAUUUACAAGACUGAAAAUCCACUAAAUUCUGACUCUGACUUUAAAUAAUUGCAAAACUAAAAUAGUACUUUACAUACUGUACAGUCCCUUAUACUGGGUAUUUCUUCUCUAGUAGAAACCCUGCAUGACAACAUGCAAAUGAUGGAAAAUCAGUCAUUUUAUAGAAACUAGACUCAUACAGCUAACAAAGAGCUUUGAAGCACAGUCAGCAGUUGGGAGCAACAGAUAUCAGAAGUGUAUAACCUCUUUUCAGAUCUCUCUGCUAUCAUUUCUGUGAGAAUGAAAUGACACACCAGCAGUCAAACAAAUUGCAACCUCAAUAACAGAAGUUGCAUUUUGCCGUGUGAAAUAGAAGUUUAUAACACAAGCUGUUUAUCUGAGUGACGAUUGGGGAAAGGAGUAAAAACUUAAUGUUUUUCCUUAUUCGAAAAUUAUAAUUUGAAAUUUCUUUCAGAAAGAAAAGAUAUUGAGACUCUCUACUACAACAUAAGGUAGUAGCUUUUGGUUGGCACUGUUUGUACACCAAGACUUUUAAAAAGUACUGAGUAUGUACUGAUUAGCAGCUGAUUUGAUUGCAGAAAUGAAGUCUGCACCUAUCUGUACUAGGUGCGGAGACAAUGCCUUGCUGAGAUCCCCUGUCCUCUUGUAUGGCUUGGGUCCUGUAAUUUUGAGUUUGCAAGAGUUAUGCUUCUGCAUGAAAUGCUUACACGAUAUCUGAGCUAUUUAUUGCAGUAUAAAGGAGCCCCGGUACUUGCAUGGCAAGCGUAUUAGCAGAAAAAUGGUUGGAGUCAGAUGCUGUGGUAUGAAUACUGAAUCUGCUAAGUUAGCUCCUUUUCAAAGUCUUAUUACUCAUGUAUCUAAUGUAUUUUAUUAGCGAAGGGGUUUGUCUGCUGCUUAUGGCUUUAACCCAGGGCAGUCUUGCUUUUGUCAUGUCAGUUUGUCGUACAGCUAUGGAUUAUCGCUUUAAAAAAAUCUGAUAUUGCUAGAAAUAAAACUAUAGGUCUUUGCCAAGUAACUGAAUAAGGAGUACAGCCCACAGAAGAAUAUACAAACAAAACUCCUCCUUGAGUAGUUCUCUGCAUUCGGACCAAAAUACUUCAUAGAAUGAACUUUUCUUCCUAGAUCCCACUUUGCAGUGCCUCUGGUUUUGGGGUUUUUAUUUACUUCUGUAUGCUAUGAAUGAUUCCAAUAGUCAAGUUUAAUCUGUUUGCUCUAAGAGUUCGAAGUACAGGACUUUAUUUUCAUAGUUUUGUCUAAUAUGUUUAUAAAUAUAUAUACAUUGUAUUUGGUGAAAAUAUGCAUAAUGCAAGAAUAAAUACUGUUUUAAACCGAGAAGAGACAGGUAGUUUAUUAGAGCUUAUUUUUUCUUAUUUUGCAGCCAUGAUAUUAAACUUUAUCAAAAAAAGUUUAAAACUUUUCUGUGAAGCAGAAUCAUUUUGUAUUAAUAUUAGUAAAAAAAAAAAAGCUAAAGUAUUUAACAGAGUUUCAGUUAACCAACAGUCAUUGCUGCUUUCCUUUUUGACGGUUGGUCAAAAUGCCACCACAUUCCUGUAUGCCAUUUUCAGUUCCUGUACAGUAAUUAUAAAAACUUUGGUCUUGCGAAGGCCAGCAGAGCUGAGUGAGUAAACUCAGUUACAUAGAUUCUCCAAGAGCAUCUUUUGUGAAUUAUCUACCUUAGAAUUAAGAAAAUGUUCCAUGUUUCAAUAGGGUCCUUUAUGUAGCUCUUUUAUGUAACACAGAGCUGUUUGCAGUGCAGCCUGUUGCAAGCCUAUGUUUUUCCUCCUGUGGUUCAAGUCAAGCAGAGGCUUGACUUGUGGUCAACAGUAUUAACCACAGCUCCCUCAUUAACUUCCACUUUAAAUAAUGUAUUCUGCCUUUUUAAAUUCCUCCUGCCUCCUAAAGACUGGGAGGGAAAGCUUCAAGUCUUGCAUGGCAGCUAAGUCCCUCUCCUUGCAUGUUUAAUUAAUGGGAGAUGGAUCUAAUACAACCAGUUUGUACAUUGCUUUGAACUCUUUCUGAAUGAAAGGUAUGGUAGAAAAAUACAUUUACAGUUGGUUUAAUUGAAUGAGAUUUUAUUUGUAGCAAGGUGGACCCUAUUCUUACAUGACAAACUUGCCGUAAUGAUGUUUUCAUGACUGAAAAUAAGAAAAAUAUAUAAUGCAAACAUCUCCACAUUUUAUGUUUGAGCUGCAGUUGAGAAUAUGGUAGAAAAGAAGGUGUAAAUAUUGCUUUAUGCAGAAUCCCCUAUCUUUGUAUUUGCAUUUUAUCAAUAAACUGUACCCUGAUUAGGAGACAUAGCUUUGUAGGUCCUUUGUGGAACAAAACAAAAAAACCUUAGUUACGUGACUUGUGAAGUUCAAAGGCAGAUGAAAUAUUCUAGGUAUGAAUUACAUAUCAUGUUACGGGGACAUUCUUAAAAAUACAGUUUAUGGCUUUUGUCAGGACAGGAGAGUAACACUGGCCACACUGAUUUUAUUGCAAAAUCAAAAGCCCUUCCUUCCUCUUAUUAAGCAAAAGAAGAUGUUCAGAAUAGAAAAACCUGUGCUGUGUUGAUUAGUUCUUUAUACAUUUAGAAGUAAAUCCUGAAACAGCCAUGCAGGCUGACAGGGAAAGUAAGUGAACCUCAUUGUAGCAAGACUUUCCUUUGCAAACCUUUUACAUAACUGUAAUCACUGAAACACACAUUUCCACUUAAUCCUGCCAAAGAUAACCCUCUGGUUUUAAGCUUGGAGAAGACAGAGCUUGUGACACAGUCAUUCAAAAACUACCAAGAGCUGACAGAUAAAAUAAAGUGUCUCAGUUUGAAAUGACUACUUGUAGAGGGGACCACCACCUACUAAUCUUAGGGCAGACCGGUACAAACACCCGCCAUCCCUGGGUGACGUUCCUGACAAGUGCAGUCCACAAACACGCGUGCCAGGCGACAGCUAACCUGCUGCAUGAGUGGUGCGGGAGGAGCCGUUGAUCCUCUUUUUGAAAGUAAUGCCCCACAACAGAAGCUUAAAAUAAUCUACUUUUUUAAAGGACAUAAUUUCAUCUCUGCCCUCCUAAAUAAAUAAGUCAAAUUAAUGCACUUCUACACAAUUCCCCUUUCUUGUCGCAAUAAGGAAGCAUAAGUGUUAAUUUAUGGCUGGCCUGAUAAAUUUUCAUGGCAGUUCUGCUAGGCUAAUUUAACAUUACCAGUAGAAGCUUCACCCCAGUGCAUUUGUCUGUUGGGAUUAGACACUCAAGGGCUAUUAUUUCUGGUUCAUUUGUGCCAAAUAGCAGUCCUCCAUAUGUUCACUUAAACAAUUUCUUGCCACCACCUCCACACUUUCACUACUUUGUAAGUACUUCAUUGCAUUGUUUCAUUAAAUAAUCCAUUCAAGCUCUUGAGCAGAUAAUCAAAAAGGAAAGUGAAUAUUAGGAAGUGUGGCAGAGAUCAAUUUUAUCGUCUCAGUUGUGAUUUUGGGACAAAUUGUUAGUCUGUCGGCAUAUACCCAUAGUGGCCAACUCCGAAUUGUUCAGGGCAAUGUUAUUUGUUCAGUUGAGGGCUAUAAAACGCUGCCAGACUAGAGACCUGCAAAUGUAAUUGCCACAUUUACCAGUUAAAACAUUGCAAAUGCCAAACGCCGUAGUUGGUACAGUGCCUAUUGGAUUGUGCUCUGCAUUUCGUUGUGUUCAAUGCACCAGCUCUCCAAUUACAGCAUCCAUUGAUGCAUUAUAUAAGCUUGUAGCGUGAAGCAAGUUUAGGGGCAUAAGUUAUGAAGUAACUUGUCUUCUGUUUUUCUACAGCUCAUAUAAUUGCAAUGCAAAUGAGAUUUUAUGCAUGGUCUUCUAAUUUGAUUAGAUUAUGGGGGGAGUUAAGCAGUCACUUGUCUGAAACUACAGUGUUAUCUGGGAAGUUGCUUUUUUUCCACUUUGAGAUUUUUUGAAAAUUAUAGUCAUUUAGGGUCAUCUCCUAUAUAGAUGAGUUGCAAACUCAGUUGCAAAUGUGUUAUGUUUUCUUAUCUGUGGCACAAAUGUAUACAGAUUACUUUUCAAUUUAACAAAUGUUAUUGCUAUAAGUUUUAAAAAGUGCUACUCAGAUUUAUGAAGAGAUGACUAGGACUUUUUUUUCAGGUAAAGAUGAUCUCAAGAUAAAAAAGUGCAUGUCUAAAUAGCCUUCCUAUUUUAAUUUCUCUAUUUCUAGCACACUGGGAACUCCUUGCUUAGGAAAGCAUUUUUCUCCUGAUACUUCCCCUGCUUUCAUUUCUCUAAUAACUAGGAAAUUACAGACCACUCAGAUUGCCCCAGCAGAAGGGUUGGUGUCUAUACUAAAGAAGAGAGAUGACAGGGAAGGAAAAACAAUUGCUCAAGUCCAGCAAAGACAAACAAAGAGAAGAGUGCGAUUCCAAG